GAAAAAAUAUCUCAAUCGAGGGAACGUGGAUCUUGAGCGACGACAGUGGCGAUUCUUCUAUAGGAUUCUUUCUUUGUCAUCGAGAGAGGCGAGAGGAUCCAUUCCAUAUUAUCCAAGUCAGAGAAACAAUAAAAGCAGGAAUAUUAAGAAAGUUCGAGAAUUCUGGAGAGCCUCUCGCUGUUUCAGUAAUUUGUCCGGUUUUUCGUGGGCGACACGGUCCAGAUUAAUGAUACCGUUUUCGCGGAAAGCCUCGACAGAUGAAUUGGAUCUCGCUCACGCAUUUCGUUUCUCACGAGUCUUUGACCGACUCGAGGAUCGACCCUUCGAUACAAUUAAAAGAAGGGUCCGCCCUGGAGCCAUUCGGCCCGGCCUACAACAACAUCCCAGCCGUCCAGGAUUGGACGAGGAAUGGUCCUUUGACAUUGGUCCACGGCCAGGACCAAAUUCCGGGACCAUUAUUAAGACCCUGCUGUGUCCACGACCACUGUUUCGUGGAUUCCUUUUUCAUGGCUGCUACAAGAUACUCGAAAAAGAAUACCAUCCUAUUUCAUUUAGAAAAUUCCAAGAUAUUUACUUCAAUACUACUAUAUACGUACUAUAUACGCAUCUUCAAAGGAAGGUAAGUCCUUCGUAAUUUUCAAUUUAGUAUUAAUUUUAGAUGAAGAGUAUGACAGUGGCAUCGAUCAGUGGGUGAAAUAACAAUGGAUUUACUUACUUUCGUCGAGAGCAUUAAUUAACUGGGACGGAAUUGUCGAUUUCAUCUUGUUACGUAAAUAAUGAGCCAGCCCGUUAACAAGGUUUGAUAGAUGCUUAAAACAAACCCUUAAUUGAAUUCACACUUAGUCAUUCCGGUUCGUUCAGAAACCGUCGAGUCAUCCUGCACUGAUUUUUUCCCGGUUCCCGAGCCCUCCUGUCUCGCCAAAUUUACUCAGUGAUCGUUAUUUCUGCCAAUAAGUCUCGUUUCCAUCGCAAAGGGAAAUAAUGUUUCGCCAUUCACGAUAGCUUAUCUUAAACUCGGUUUAAUUGACUUUUAAAUCUUCAACGUUCGUAGAUGUAAUCGGUGUGAGACGUUUAUAACGAUAAUACGGUUAUUCUUUUCAUUUCAGAUUAUAAUUUCUUAUGUCUAGUUGCGACCUUUUAGCUUAAUGUGCCAAAGAUGCCAAGAAUUUUGUUCUUUUCCUCGGUUGCUUGCGGUUGGUACACCCUCGACAGAUGUUACACCGCGAUUUUGCUGGAAGGAGCCAGCCAUCGCUGCCGGCGGUGCAAGUAUUGCCAACAUGGACGCGUGGUCCGCCACGAAAACUACUUUGCGCGAGCAACCAAAAGAACAGCGUCGAUAUGGUAACGCGUGUAUGAUGUUUAUUCAAUUUGUUGUAUUAUAUUCAAUAUUGCGUAUCGAUGGAAAGUAUUCUCUAAAACAGAAAUAAAUGAAAAUCUUUCACGAUUCUCCCUACUUCGUGCAAACGUAAGUCGCAACAAAUGUUCAUCAAUCAAACGGAACUAUUAUUCUUGAUAAAUUUCAAUCGAGUUUAGUAGUUCGUGUUGAAAUAUCGGAGCAGUGUUGUGUUUUCUAUAUCUGUGCACCUAUAGUUUACGGAAAACGGCUACCCGCUCAGCCAUAAUCAAUU